rnacentral:rRNA from 1 species
AGCGAACGCUGGCGGCAGGCCUAACACAUGCAAGUCGAACGCACCUUCGGGUGAGUGGCGGACGGGUGAGUAACACGUGGGAACGUACCUUUAGGUUCGGAAUAACGCAGGGAAACUUGCGCUAAUACCGAAUGUGCCCUUCGGGGAAAGAUUAUCGCCUUUAGAGCGGCCGCGUUAGAUUAGCUAGUUGGUGAGGUAAUGG